rnacentral:misc_RNA from 1 species
GAAAUGCGAUAAGUAAUGUGAAUUGCAGAAUUCAGUGAAUCAUCGAAUCUUUGAACGCACAUUGCGCCCGCCAGUAUUCUGGCGGGCAUGCCUGUUCGAGCGUCAUUUCAACCAUCAAGCCCCCGGCUUGUGUUGGGGACCUGCGGCUGCCCGCAGGCCCUGAAAACCAGUGGCGGGCUCGCUGUCACACCGAGCGUAGUAGCAUACAUCUCGCUCAGGGCGUGCUGCGGGUUCCGGACGUUAAAAGCCUUUUUUUACCCAAGGUUGACCUCGGAUCAGGUAGGAAGACCCGCUGAACUUAAGC